UACGUAGGCAGCAAGCGUUGUUCGGAAUUACUGGGCGUAAAGAGUGUGUAGGCGGUGCUCUAAGUCUGUUGUGAAAUCUCCCGGCUUAACCGGGAGGGUGCGGCGGAAACUGGAGUGCUUGAGGGUGGGAGAGGUAAGCGGAAUUCCUGGUGUAGCGGUGAAAUGCGUAGAUAUCAGGAGGAACACCUGCGGUGUAGACGGCUUUCUGGACCAUUGUUGACGCUGAGACACGAAAGCGUGGGUAGCAAACAGG
rnacentral:rRNA from 1 species